UCCUCUCUUGCUGCCAAGACUAACGAUAUCCGACGUCAAGAUUCAAGGCUACAACAUCCCAAAGAACACUAUGAUCCAAAUCAACACUUACGCGAUAGGACGUGAUCCCAAAUACUGGACCAAACCCGACGAGUUCAUCCCCGAGAGGUUUGUUGAUAACCCUAUCGAAUAUAAAGGUAAGCACUUUGAGUUAUUGCCGUUUGGAGCCGGUCGUAGGAUAUGCCCUGGGAUGGGCACAGGGACCACCAUCGUUGAGCUUGGCCUUCUUAACCUUCUUUACUUCUUUGACUGGAGUUUGCCCGAGGGAAUGACCAUUAAAGAUAUUGAUAUGGAAGAAGAUGGAGCUUUCGUCAUCGCCAAGAAAGUUCCUUUAGAGCUCGUUCCAACUCGUCAUCGCUGGUGAAGAGAACGUUAUCAUUUUAAUAAGAUCCAUAUUUUUACAUAUUUGUCUAAAUACUAUUGGUGUGGCUUUGUUUUAUCUAAAAUUGUUUUAAGCUUAUCAUGUCUUGUGAUCGGUACUUUACCAAUAAUGUUUUAAUAAUGUCUACAAUUAAUACCUAUGUUAAUCUAAAGUUUUAUCCUUCAUUUUCUGUUAUUGAGAUGGUCCUUUGAAUGUGUUAUUCUGACAUACGCAUCGUUGACAAACAAAAAAGAAGUUGACACGACAUUAAAGUAAUUGCUUCUGCAAGAUUUAAGAAGAAAAAGGCUUACUAAAGUAUAACUUAGUCACACAACUCACAACUCAGAGUUUAUAAAAAAUGGUUUUCAAAAGUAUGAAGUCUUCUUUUAGUUACUUGUAAGAUACACUACCAAAUACCAAAAUUGUGGAGUCAAAACUUCUAUAAUGUUCUUAUUGAACCGAAGUAUUAAUUAUAGUACUUGGUAGGGGUGGGUGUUCGGACACCCAUUCGGAUUCGGUUCAGAUCUAUUCGAAUUUGGAUUUUCGGGUCAAAGAUUUUAGCCCCAUUCGGAUAUUUUUAAAUUUCGGGGUUCGAUUCGAGUUCGUAUAAACCAUUUAAAUUAUUUUUAAAACGUUAAAAUUUGUUUUAUGCUUUAAAUUUCUCAAAAUCUACAAACAAAAUAAUAUAUUAUAUAUAAAUUUGAAUAACAUAUGUAACUAAAUUGGUUUGGUUUGAAUACUUGGAUAGAGAAUCAAUAGAUAUUUCAAGUAUUUUUGGUCUUUUGAGUAUAUUUUCUGUUUUAGACAUUUAAUUUCACUAUUUAUAUAUAUAUUUUUAAAUAUUUUGGACAACUUAGAUAUAUAUUAUAUAUUUUGGAUGUUUUCAAUAUACAUUAGAUCUAAAAAUAAUUAAUAUAUUUAGGUAUAUAAUUCUAUUUCGGAUAUAUUCGAAUACUUGAAAUACUUCAGUUCGGGAGGAUUUGGUUUCGGUUCUUUAAAUACCAAAAUUUCGAACCCAUUCAAAUGUUUAAUUUAUUUCGGUUCGGAUUCACUACUACUUUUUGGAUCCGCUUCGGUUCUUCGGGUUCAGAUUUUUUGCCCAGUCCUAGUACUUGGACCCAAAAUGUUUUUUUAAUACAUAUAUACUCACUCCAUUUCAAUCAGAUAUAGUUUGAGUUUUUCCACACAAAUUAAAAUAAUAAAAUAUUCAAUUAUUUCUUAUUUAAUUCUAUAUUAUUUAUUAUUUUAUAAAAUUUAAUCAUAGAUAAAAAAUAAAUUAAAUACAAAACUGCAUUAAAAUCAUAAAACAAUACUUAUUUUGUAACAAAAAAAUUAUUUUACAAUAAUACCUAAUUUAAAAUGGAGGGAAUAAUUUUUUAAAAUUAUAUCUGUUUUUGUUAAUUUACAGAAGACAGAAGAAUUUAAAGAAUACUGUUUUACACACAAUUAAAUCAUUAAAAUGGGAAAUAGUUAUUUAUAUUCUGCUAUUUUAAGAACUUGGAGAUAUACUUUUUUUUUCUUAAACUGAAAUUUCGUUAAUAAUAUUUUAAAAGGCUUUACGUGAUUUGGUAGAAGAACAAAAUAAAACUAGUAAGAAUAUGGAUAAAGCUAAUAAGUUUGAAAGGGUUUUCUAGUGGUUUCAAUUAUACUUUAGAAACUUUAGUUGCACCAAAAAAAAAAUUAGAAAUUUGAUGAUCCACAACAUGUCUUUUGGUGGCUACACAUAUCGAUCAGUUCCGACUUGAUCCGCAAUAAUGUUUUCUUUUUCUAUCGCAACGUUAUGUUGUUUGUUUGGUCAUAGAGAGGUCUUUAUAACUAAAUUGUGUUUAUGGACUUAUACUUCUCCAUCCAUACAUCAACAAGAUAAGCCUCCAGAGAGUUGUUUAAAUCAAAAGUUUCUAACAUAAUUGAAAAAAACUUUGGUUUUGUGGAAAAACCUAACCACAUGUAUUGGUUUAAUUAGUUGCCUAUUUGAGAACAAGUUGCUCUUCACUCCAAAAACAGAGAACAAGAGAGAUAAAAACACAAACAAGAAAAUGAGUUUCUUAUUACUAAGUUUCCUCUUCCUUCUCUCUUUAUUCUUCUUUCAAAAGUUUUCACCUUCAAAAAGGAAUCUUCCUCCGGGACCUAUAGGUCUUCCCAUCGUAGGAAACUUGCACCAGCUUGGAAAAUUGCUUUAUAAAUCUCUUCACAAUCUCUCCUUAAAACAUGGACCCGUGAUGCUUCUCCGUUUCGGUGUCGUCCCUGUGGUCGUGUUAUCCUCCAAGGAAGCAGCUAAAGAAGUCCUCAAGACGCAUGAUCUAGAGACUUGUACCCGACCUAAGUUGGCCGGUUUGAAGUUGUUUAGUUACAACUUCAAAGACAUUGGGUUCACUCAGUAUGGUGAGGAAUGGCGAGAGAUUAAAAAGCUUGUUGGACUCGAGCUAUUUAGUCCCAAAAGUCAAAAGGUUUUGAAGUAUCUCAAAGUGGAAGAGAGUGACUUGCUGGUCAAGAAAUUAUCAAACUCUGCUCAAACAGAAACCCUAGUUGAUUUGAAGAAAGCCCUAUUCUCCUUCACCGCCGGGAUCAUAUUUAGACUCGCCUUUGGACAUAACUUCCAUGAGUGCGAGUUCAUAGAUAUGGAGGAAGUAGAAGAGAUGGUGACAGAACUAGAGACCAACGCAGGCGCUUUGGUAUUCACUGACUUCUUACCCACGGGUCUUGGAUGGCUUAUAGACCAGCUUUCCGGUCAGCAUUCAAGGAUGAACAAAGGCUUUUCCAAACUUACAAGUCUCUUCCAACAUGUGAUCGAUGAUCAUUUAAAGGUUUCACAACCUGAGGAAGACUCAGACCUCGUCAGUGCCAUGUUGAAUAUGGUUAAUAAACCCACCAAAACUGGUUCUUUGAAGAUCACUAUCGAUCAUCUCAGAGGAGUCAUGUCAGUGAGUGUGCACAAACUUCUUACUACCAAACUUUAUUGUUCUAAUUAAGAAGAUAACCUAAAGAACGAUAUAAUAACUUGAAUCGCAAGAUACACAUCUUAUUUUCAAUUUAAUUUUAUUUUUUAAUAAUCUAGAUUUCUGUCUCCGUUUUAAAUUCGCAUAAUUAUUUUGAUUAUAUAUAAUUAUAUAUAUUUAUUAUAUUUUUUAAUUUUAAAUUUCUUACUAGAUUAAUUUCAUUUUUAAUUAAGAUAUAAAAUCUAAUUAAGUUAUAAUUAUAUUCUGACAUUGUUUACAAAUUUAUUUAAUUAUUAUUAAAUACAUAAAUAAAAGUAAUUAUAAAAUUUUGUUACAGUUAAUAUAUAUAAAAAAUCUAAGAAUUUCAAUAGAAAAAAUCAUAAAUAACAUAACUGAAAGUUAGUUUCAAACAAUAUUUUAUUUUAAUAAAAUAGAAAUGUAAAUUAUUAGGUUUGUAAUUUAUUCAGGAUGUAUUUUUGGCGGGAGUGAACGCGGGAGUAAUCACUAUGAUAUGGACAAUGACAGAGCUAAUCAGACAUCCGAGAGUUAUGAAGAAACUCCAAGAAGAGAUACGAACAACACUCGGAUCCAACAAAGAGAGAAUCACAGAAGAAGACCUAGAGAAAGUUGAGUACAUGAAGCUAGUGAUCAAAGAAUCAUUCAGAUUACAUCCACCUGCUCCUCUCUUGCUCCCAAGACAAACAAUGUCGGACAUCAAAAUCCAAGGCUACAACAUUCCUAAGAACACCAUGAUCCAAGUCAGCACUUACGCGAUAGGACGUGAUCCACAAUGUUGGAAGAGCCCUGAAGAGUUCAUUCCCGAGAGGUUUUUAAAUACAUCUAUCAACUACAAAGGUCAGCAUUUUGAGUUCUUGCCCUUUGGAGCUGGUCGUAGGAGCUGUCCCGGGAUGGCCUUGGGAACCACCAUUGUCGAGCUUGGCCUUCUUAACCUUCUUUACUUCUUUGAUUGGAGUUUGCCCGAUGGAAUGAAAAUUGUAGACAUUGACAUGGACGAAGUCGGAUCUUUAAACAUCGCCAAGAAAGUGCCUCUUGAGCUCGUACCAACUCUUUAUCGUUUCUAAACAAUAAUAUAUAUACAAGACCUGAUUUGUAUAUUUUAUAUUUUAUUUCGUUUUUGUUCUACGUUUAUUCUAGAUGGCUUGUAUUUAAAGAAAGUAUAUAUUCAUGUUCAUAAUGCUUAUAUCUUCACUGAAACUUGUACUAUUCUAAAUUUGAAAAUUUCUCCCCUUCCCCCUCCCACAUUGAAUGAUUGAAGUGGUCUUUAAAUUUCAUGUUGCCAUAAUAUCAGAAGUAAAUGGUUAAGUAACAUACGAUCAAUUUAUUACGAGACACUGAUUUCCUCAAAAAGCUCUUGAAAUAAUUUAAAAUUAUUCUACGUCAUUAGAAGUAUGGGUCGUAAUAAAGUGAUGGGUCGUAAUAAAGUGAUCGUAUGUUAACAACUUUUACUUCUGAUAUGUCAACAUGAAACAUGGUUUUGUUUAAAGACAUAACUUGAAUGUUAUAUUAUAUGUUUCUUAUAAAUGGAAGAUCAUAAUGUGAUCCAAACUCUAUGUAGUCAGAGUUUUGAAUCACAUAUAUAUAUGUGAUUAUUCAUUUAUAAGCCCCCACACUAGAUACUUACCAUAAGAGCUAUUCAGCUUGAUUCUUAGCUAAAUAUCAACAGCAGUCCAUGGGAAAAUCAUAUUUAUAUAUUAUAUUAAAAAAACCAAGCCUGGUUUGAGGUUAAAUUUUUUUGGAAUAGUUCAUAUUUCCCAUGGAAUAUUUCAUUUUUAUAUAAUUAUCAAACCUAAUUACUUUCUGGUUACAAACUUACAAGAAUCAGAUCCAUAAGAAAAUGAUAGAUUUGUUUAUUGUCACGUAUUGUAUGUUGUCGGUUUGGUUAGAGAGAGAGCUCUAUAUCUAACCUGUGUUUUUGAGAUAGCACUUUCUCCAGCCACAUACCCAAGAACAUGAUAUGUCUCGGGACGGUUGCCUUAAUUGAUUCAGUUCAUCUGGUAUAAUAAAUAAAACAUUCAUUUAAGUACAAAAGCCUAACCACAUGCAUGCAUCGCCUAUAUGGAUCCUCUCUGAUAACAAAAUGCUCAAUCCCACAUAAUUAGUACUAGUAAGAAUAAUAAUGUCUAUCUACCUUUAUUUCCUCUUCAUCUCCCUUCUCGUUCUGAUCAUUUUUAAAAAGCUUUUACCCUCGAAAAGGAAGCUUCCCCCAGGACCUACAGGUCUUCCCAUCAUUGGAAACUUGCACCAGCUUGGAGGACUGCUUCACAGCACUCUUCACAAGCUAUCUUUAGAACAUGGACCAGUGAUGCUUCUUCGCUUUGGGGUCGUCCCUAUGGUCGUGUUCUCUUCAAAGGAAGCAGCUAAAGAAGCUCUCAAGACUCAUGACCUAGAGACAUGCAACCGACCUAAGUUGGUGGGCAACGGAUUGUUUACUCACAACUUCAAAGACAUUGGGUUCACUCAGUAUGGUGAGGAAUGGAGAGAGAUGAAAAAACUCGUGGGACUCGAGCUCUUUAGUCCGCAAAAGCAAAAGUCUUUCAGGUAUAUCAGAGAGGAAGAAGGUGACUUGCUAGUCAAGGAAAUAUCAAAAUCUGCCCAAACACAAACCCUAGUGGAUUUGAGAAAAGCCUUGUACUCUUUCGCCGCCGGUGUCAUACUUAGACUCGCCUUCGGACAGAACUUCCAUGAGUGUGAUUUCAUCGAUAUGGACAGAGUUGAAGUGCUGGUGCAAGAGGCAGAAACCAGUGUAUGCGCAUUGGCAUUCACUGACUUCUUCCCCACGGGUCUCGGCUGGCUUGUUGACCGUAUCUCGGGUCAGCAUUCAAGGAUGAACAAAGCCUUUUCCAGGCUCACCAGUUUCUUUCAACAUGUGAUAGAUGAGCAUAAGAAAGCUGGACAAACCCAAGAUCGUUCAGACUUAGUUAGUGCUAUGUUGGAUAUGAUCAAUAGACCCACUAAAUCAGGUUCUUUCAAGGUCACCUCUCAUCAUCUCAAAGCAAUGAUGACAGUGAGUUUCUCUUAAUUAUACUUUCUCCUUUGCAAAAUAGAUUUUGUUUAAAGUAUCUUCACAUAAAUUAAGAAAACGAUUAAGUAUUCGGUUUCCCCCUUAUUUGACUAUUAAAAUUAUAUAACAUUAUUUUUUUUUUAAUUUAAUUUGGGAUAAAAGAUAUUAAAUUAGUGAAAAAACUAUAUUAAAAUCAUAGAACAACAAUUAUUUUGUAACAAAAGUUGUACUAUACAACAACACUUAAUAUGACCCAUUUAUACAUCUAGUUCAUUUUGUUGCUUCGUCUUAAGUUAUACGUAUGUCAUGUUAUCAGGAUGUGGUUUUGGCUGGGAUAAACGCAGGAGUAACAACAAUGAUAUGGACCAUGACAGAGCUAACCAGACAUCCAAGAAUAAUGAACAAACUCCAAGAAGAGAUUAGAACAACACUCGGAUCCAACAAAGAGAGAAUCACAGAAGAAGACCUAGAGAAAGUUGAGUACAUGAAGCUAGUGAUCAAAGAAUCAUUCAGAUUACACCCACCUGCUCCUCUCUUGCUCCCAAGACAAACAAUGUCCGAGAUAGAGGUUCAUGGCUACACCAUUCCCAAGAACAGCAUGAUCAAGAUCAACACUUACGCCAUAGGACGUGAUCCAAAAUGCUGGACUAAAGCUGAAGAAUUUAUUCCUGAGAGGUUUUCAGAUACAAGUAUCAACUUCAAAGGUCAGCAUUUCGAGCUCUUGCCGUUUGGAGCUGGACGUAGGAGCUGUCCUGGUAUGGCCUUGGGAAUGGCUAAUCUUGAGCUUGGCCUUCUUAACCUUCUUUACUUCUUUGAUUGGAGUUUGCCCAAUGGGAUGGCUAUUGAAGACAUUGACAUGGACGAAGCUGGAGAUUUAAACAUCGCCAAGAAAGUCCCUCUUGAGCUCGUACCAACUCUUCAUCACUGGUGAACAAAUGCAAUGCUA
rnacentral:lncRNA from 1 species